rnacentral:rRNA from 1 species
AGUGAACGCUGGCGGUAGGCCUAACACAUGCAAGUCGAACGGCAGCACAGUAAGAGCUUGCUCUUACGGGUGGCGAGUGGCGGACGGGUGAGGAAUACAUCGGAAUCUACUUUUUCGUGGGGGAUAACGUAGGGAGACUUACGCUAAUACCGCAUACGACCUACGGGUGAAAGCAGGGGAUCUUCGGACCUUGCGCGAUUGAAUGAGCCGAUGUCGGAUUAGCUAGUUGGCGGGGUAAAGGCCCACCAAGGCGACGAUCCGUAGCUGGUCUGAGAGGAUGAUCAGCCACACUGGAACUGAGACACGGUCCAGACUCCUACGGGAGGCAGCAGUGGGGAAUAUUGGACAAUGGGCGCAAGCCUGAUCCAGCCAUACCGCGUGGGUGAAGAAGGCCUUCGGGUUGUAAAGCCCUUUUGCUGGGAAAGAAAAGCAGCAGGUUAAUACCCCGCUGUUCUGACGGUACCCAAAGAAUAAGCACCGGCUAACUUCGUG